rnacentral:lncRNA from 1 species
UGCAGGUGGGUUGAGGCUGCAGCAGUACGACAAGUAAAGGUCCCUUCUCCACAUUGCGCACUAGAAAUCCCCGCAUUUCACCCGUCCACCUAUCCUUUCUUUCUCACACUUCUCCCUCCUCCCGCAACCUCAUCCCCACAAAAACAAACCUCAUCCCCAGCCCCCCAUCAUCCUUCUAUACUGCGCACCCACCCGGAAUCAAUCUCAAUCGUACAGGCCUCAGGUCACCUGGGGUAACAGGCAUGUAUGCGUGUCCCCGUUCCAUGUCUACAGGUGCUGCUUUAUUUAUGUGCGAUUGGGAGCCUUGCAUCUCACCGACCUUUUUCCUACGUAUGGGUUUCCUGGAAGUCUGUUUGCUUAACAAAAUAGUGCGUGGCUCUGCGCGUGUUCGCAUGUGUAAUACGGUUUUUCGUGGAGUAGUUGCCUUACCGCUUAGGGAUCGUCCAGGCGGAGAGGUACCUGCAGGCAGGGAAGUUGUGCUUGCUUCCGUAGGUGGGGGCAAGUAUGGUCACCGAAGCGACUCUGCUGCUGUACGCUGUAGAUUAGGCAGAAGCCGCAGCGGAAACCUGUCAGUACUGACACUAUGAACUCGCAAAAUUACUCUUUCCGUCGCACUCCUGCGACUUACUCUAGCCCUGUACGG